rnacentral:rRNA from 1 species
UACGUAGGGUGCGAGCGUUGUUCGGAAUCACUGGGCGUAAAGGGAGCGUAGGCGGGAUCGUAAGUUAGGAGUUUAAUGCAUGGGCUUAACCCAUGACCUGCUUUUAAUACUGCGAUUCUUGAGUAUGGGAGAGGGCGAUGGAAUUCCAGGUGUAGCGGUGGAAUGCGUAGAUAUCUGGAAGAACACCAGUAGCGAAGGCGGUCGCCUGGCCUAAUACUGACGCUGAGGCUCGAAAGCUAGGGGAGCAAAC